UGGAAGCAUGACCUUCCUCCUGUUACAGCUGGGGAAACUGAGGCUUAGAGAGUUGCGUGGUCGAAAGGUCUCUGCUCUUGGACGGGGAGCAGUGUCUCCUUGGCAGCUCAAGCCUGUGACAGCCUGUGGGUCCCGUGAGAGCAGCGGGCGGGGCUCCCGAGAGGGAGCUGGAGGGAGGGACCCACGGAGAUUCUCUUCAACACCUGGAUCCCAAGCAGCGUUGCACGGUGGUGAGGUAGGGACUCUGGCUGUGUUCUUCCAGAACCUUCACUGUGGGCCCCUUAUUCUCUCCACCCUGGAUCCCUUUUACCAAAUUCUUCCUCCACAGGCCCCUUAAGAAUAGAUUUCACAGCCCAAACAGACUGCAAAUAUUACUCAGUCACCAGCACCUUUUCAUCCCAUACCAAUCGGAGGCACAUGGUGCCGGUCACCAGGAAGCUCUGAGAAAGCCGAGGUAUUCGUCUCUGGAUUUGCCGUGACAAAGCUCCACAAACUGGGUGGCUUCAAACACAGACACACAUUGUCUCACAGUUCUGGAGGCCAGAAGGCUGAGAUCAAGGCAGGGGCGCUCUGAGGGAGGGAGGGCCCCAGGCUUCUCUCCCAGCUUCCGGUGGCCCCAGGAGUGCUCAGUUUUGGGGGCUGUGGCGGCAUCGCUGACACUCUGCCUCUGUGUUCACAGGGGGUGCUUCCCUCUGUGUCUCUAUAUCUCCGAGUCUGUGUCCAAAUUUAUCUUUUCUUAUAAGGACACCAUCUUUGCAUUAGAGAACACUCUAAUCCAGUAUCACCUCAUCUUCACUGGAUUCCAUUUGCAAAGACCUUUAUUUAUUUAUUUAUUAUUUUUUUGAGAUGGAGUUUCACUCUUGUUGCCCAGGCUGGGGUGCAAUGGCAUGAUCUUGGCUCACUGCAACCUCCGUCCCCCAGGUUCAAGCAAUUCUCCUGCCUCAGCCUCCCGAAUACCUAGGAUUACAGGUGCAUGGCACCACGCCCAGCUAAUUUUGUAUUCUUAGCAGAGAUGGGGUUUCUCCAUGUUGGUCAGACUGGUCUGGAACUCCCAACCUCUGGUGAUUCGCCCGCCUCAGCCUCCUAAAGUGUUGGGAUUACAGGCGUGAGCCUGUCACCCAGACUAGAGUGCAGUGGCACGAUCAUAGCUCACUGCAGCCUAGAUCUCUGAGGCUCAAGUGAUCCUCCCACCUCAGCCUCCCAAGGGGCUGGAACUACUGUGGUGGCACAAGCCUAAUUAAAUUUUUCUGUAGAGAAGGGUCUCACUAUGUUGUCCAGGCUGGUCUCAAACUCCUGGCCUCAAGCUGUCCUCCCGCCUCAGCCUCCCAAAGUGCUUGGAUUUCAGGUAUGAGCCACUGCGCCCAGCCCCUUUCUUCAAAGAAGGUGACAUUCACAGGUGCCAGGUGUUAGGACUUGAACAUAUCUUUUUGGGGAACAUAAUUCAGUCCACUACACCUGAGUUAUCAUUUCUUUCUUUCUUUCUUUUUGAGAUGGGGUUCUCGCUCUGUCACCGAGGCUGGAGUGCAAUGGCGCAAUCUUGGCUCACUGCAACCUCUAUCUCCCAGGUUCAAGCGAUUCUCCUGCCUCAGCCUCCCGAGUAGCUGGGAUUACAGGCAUGUGCCACCACACCUGGCUAAUUUUUGUAUUUUUUUGUAAUGACAGGGUUUUACCAUUUGCCCAGUCUAGUCUCGAACUCCUGGCCUCAGGCGAUCCCCCCUGCCUUGGUCUCCCAAAGUGUUGGGAUUACAGGCGUGAGCCAUCAUGCCUGGCCCUGAGUUAUUUCACAUAAUGUCUGCAUCAGGUUUUCUGACUUUAUCAAAAGAAAAGGCACAAUUUUGUGAGGCUUCUGGAAACAGGGGAAGGAACUCAUGCACCCCUGCCUGCAUGUGUGUACCCUGGCAGGGUUGCCAGGCUGGUGUAGAGGGCACUGGAGUCGGGGGAAAGCAGGAGGUUCUGUUUGUGGCCAUAGGAGCUGCUGCCAAUAGCAGGAACCAGAAACAAUCCCAGGCCAUGAGAUAAUUUCUGCAGCUGGCCAGGGACUGCCC
rnacentral:lncRNA from 1 species